GGCCUUGUGGUGUAGUGGUAACACGUCCUUUACUAAUAUGGACCCGCAAGGAUAUUCUUUGGAGGAAAUCCUUUGUUCGAAUCAAGGUGAGGCCA